rnacentral:rRNA from 1 species
AGUGAACGCUGGCGGUAUGCCUAACACAUGCAAGUCGAGCGGCCGCACAGUAAGAGUUUGCCUCUACCGUUGGCGAGUGGCGGGUGGGUGAGGCGUACAUCGCAUACUAAUUUUUCUUGGGGGACUUCGUAAGGCCACUUAUGCUACUACCUAAUAUGUUAUACGGCAUGAUUCAGGAGUGCUUGACAGCUUUCCUGUCACUUAUAGCCGGUGUCGGAUUAGCUAGUUGGCUUGGUAAAGGCCCACCAAGGCGACGAUCCGUAGCUGAUCUGAGAGGAUGAUCAGCCACACUGGAACUGAGACACGGUCCAGACUCCUACGGGAGGCAGCAGUGGGGAAUAUUGGACAAUGGGCGCAAGCCUGAUCCAGCCAUACCGCGUGGGUGAAGAAGGCCUUCGGGUUGUAAAGCCCUUUUGUUGGGAAAGAAAAGCAGCAGGUUAAUACCCCGCUGUUCUGACGGUACCCAAAGAAUAAGCACCGGCUAACUUCGUG